GCUUACAGCCAUACCACCCUUGAAUACACCCGUCUGAUCUUGGAAGCAAAGCAGGGUCAGGCCUGGUUAGUGCUGGGAAUACAAGGUGCUGUUAGCU
rnacentral:rRNA from 1 species